GUUAUUUUGGCAGAAUAGUGCGAUUGAUUUAGAAUCUUUUUAUGUAAUUUUUAGUUACAAUUAACA
rnacentral:tRNA from 1 species